GAAGCCUGGGUGCCCGCGAGGGGAGCCCUAGCACAGGUGCUGCAUGGCCGUCGUCAGCUCGUGCCGUGAGGUGUUGGGUUAAGUCCCGCAACGAGCGCAACCCCCGCCGUUAGUUGCCAGCGGUUCGGCCGGGCACUCUAACGGGACUGCCCGCGAAAGCGGGAGGAAGGAGGGGACGACGUCUGGUCAGCAUGGCCCUUACGGCCUGGGCGACACACGUGCUACAAUGCCCACUACAAAGCGAUGCCACCCGGCAACGGGGAGCUAAUCGCAAAAAGGUGGGCCCAGUUCGGAUUGGGGUCUGCAACCCGACCCCAUGAAGCCGGAAUCGCUAGUAAUCGCGGAUCAGCCAUGCCGCGGUGAAUACGUUCCCGGGCCUU
rnacentral:rRNA from 1 species